rnacentral:rRNA from 1 species
AGAGUUUGAUCCUGGCUCAGGAUGAACGCUGGCGGCGUGCCUAACACAUGCAAGUCGAGCAACCCUUCGGGGUGAGCGGCGGACGGGUGAGUAACGCGUGGGUAACCUGCCCUGUACACAGGAUAACAUACCGAAAGGUAUGCUAAUACGAGAUAAUAUAUUUUAAUCGCAUGGUUAAGAAUCAAAGCUCCGGCGGUACAGGAUGGACCCGCGUCUGAUUAGCUAGUUGGUGAGGUAAUGCUCACCAAGGCGACGAUCAGUAGCCGACCUGAGAGGGUGAUCGGCCACACUGGAACUGAGCACGGUCCAGACUCCUACGGGAGGCAGCAGUGGGGAAUAUUGCACAAUGGGCGAAAGCCUAUGCAGCAACGCCGCGUGAGCGAUGAAGGCCUUCGGGUCGUAAAGCUCUGUCCUCAAGGAGAUAAUGACGGUACUUGAGGAGGAAGCCCCGGCUAACUACGUGCCAGCAGCCGCGGUAAUCGUAGGGGGCUAGCGUUAUCCGGAAUUACUGGGCGUAAAGGGUGCGU